AGAAAUGUGCCCGAAGUCAAAGGACUAUUUUGAUAAAAUAGACACAGAGACACGAACCUCUCAUUUCAU
rnacentral:tRNA from 1 species